ACGAACGCUGGCGGCGUGCUUAACACCUGCCAGUCGCACGGAAAGGCCCUGCUUUUGUGGGGUGCUCGAGUGGCGAACGGGUGAGUAACACGUGAGUAACCUGCCCUUGACUUUGGGAUAACUUCAGGAAACUGGGGCUAAUACCGGAUAGGAGCUCCUGCUGCAUGGUGGGGGUUGGAAAGUUUCGGCGGUUGGGGAUGGACUCGCGGCUUAUCAGCUUGUUGGUGGGGUAGUGGCUUACCAAGGCUUUGACGGGUAGCCGGCCUGAGAGGGUGACCGGCCACAUUGGGACUGAGAUACGGCCCAGACUCCUACGGGAGGCAGCAGUGGGGAAUAUUGCACAAUGGGCGGAAGCCUGAUGCAGCAACGCCGCGUGCGGGAUGACGGCCUUCGGGUUGUAAACCGCUUUCGCCUGUGAUGAAGCGUGAGUGACGGUAAUGGGUAAAGAAGCACCGGCUAACUACGUG
rnacentral:rRNA from 1 species